UCGAACUGUUACACAACGCCGUUACUCUACGCUGACGUCUGGAGCGAGCUGCACGUGCCACGGUAACUCCUCGUUCCGGAACAUCCCGUAGGAAGAUAACCAAACUUACGAAUCAUAUCAUAAUCGAUACGAGACACUCCUUCCGAGGGCCAGCUCAAUGGGUUAAGUAACAAAUGAUGUCCACUCAUUGGAAGACAAUGGAAGUCGAGUCGAGCAAGGAGUUUUUCCUCGGGAGCGCCCAAAAAAAAAAAAAAAGAAGAAAGCACACUCACACACACACCGACACAGACCCACCUACCCGGUGUCAUCCAUCAACGUCCUCUCCAGUGUCGGGGGCGGCAGCGAAAUGGGCGACAGCAGUUCGCAUGGAAAGACGCUGGAUACUCGGCCGACCGAAUGAAGGAUAUUUAUUAGCUCUCGACGCGAUGGCGGCACUACUAUUUGGAGG